rnacentral:tRNA from 1 species
GGGGGUAUAGCUCAGUGGUAGAGCAUGUGAGUAAGCAUGGGCGAGGUCCGGGUUCAAUCCCCUGUAUCUCCA